rnacentral:rRNA from 1 species
AGUGAACGCUGGCGGUAGGCCUAACACAUGCAAGUCGAACGGCAGCACAGGAGAGCUUGCCCUCUGGGUGGCGAGUGGCGGACGGGUGAGGAAUACAUCGGAAUCUACCUUUUCGUGGGGGAUAACGUAGGGAAACUUACGCUAAUACCGCAUACGACCUUCGGGUGAAAGCAGGGGACCUUCGGGCCUUGCGCGGAUAGAUGAGCCGAUGUCGGAUUAGCUAGUUGGCGGGGUAAAGGCCCACCAAGGCGACGAUCCGUAGCUGGUCUGAGGGGAUGAUCAGCCACACUGGAACUGAGACACGGUCCAGACUCCUACGGGAGGCAGCAGUGGGGAAUAUUGGAAAAUGGGCGCAAGCCUGAUCCAGCCAUACCGCGUGGGUGAAGAAGGCCUUCGGGUUGUAAAGCCCUUUUGUUGGGAAAGAAAAGCAACCAGUUAAUACCUGGUUGUUCUGACGGUACCCAAAGAAUAAGCACCGGCUAACUUCGUGCCAGCCGCCGCGGUAA